rnacentral:rRNA from 1 species
CCGAGUUUACAACUCCCAAACCCAAUGUGAACCAUACCAAACUGUUGCCUCGGCGGGGUCACGCCCCGGGUGCGUCGCAGCCCCGGAACCAGGCGCCCGCCGGAGGGACCAACCAAACUCUUUUCUGUAGUCCCCUCGCGGACGUUAUUUCUUACAGCUCUGAGCAAAAAUUCAAAAUGAAUCAAAACUUUCAACAACGGAUCUCUUGGUUCUGGCAUCGAUGAAGAACGCAGCGAAAUGCGAUAAGUAAUGUGAAUUGCAGAAUUCAGUGAAUCAUCGAAUCUUUGAACGCACAUUGCGCCCGCCAGUAUUCUGGCGGGCAUGCCUGUCCGAGCGUCAUUUCAACCCUCGAACCCCUCCGGGGGGUCGGCGUUGGGGACCUCGGGAGCCCCUAAGACGGGAUCCCGGCCCCGAAAUACAGUGGCGGUCUCGCCGCAGCCUCUCCUGCGCAGUAGUUUGCACAACUCGCACCGGGAGCGCGGCGCGUCCACGUCCGUAAAACACCCAACUUCUGAAAUGUGACCUCGAUCAGUAGAAACCCCCCCCC